rnacentral:lncRNA from 1 species
UUAUAUUGACAAAUUUUAUUUUCUAUAUCUUUGUAGGAACAAAAUGCCCCAAAAAUGAAAAGCCAUAGCUCAAGGGAAAGGAUAGUCUAAAGUUGGCAAGACAUCAACCCGUUGUCAGAUGGCAAACAAAAUCUUGACGAAUGAGGAUAUACAGCGAUUUUUAAAUGUUGAAAACCGUGAGAAUUUUGAGGCGAAGUGGAAGGACAAAAAUCUAUAUCAAGACAGGCGGGUUAUAGUUGGUGACUUUCAGGGAACUCUACUGAAAAGAAUUAUACAACCAUGUCGUUGGGAAAAACUGGUUGGAACUCCUCAUACGACAUAUCCCUUUUUGGUUAAGGAGUUCUUCGCCCUUCAACACAGAGAUUGAUACCCCAGAGUCUCCCCUCAGAAAUCAGACAUGGAUUAGAGGAAAGUGGAUUCGGCUCAGCCCAGCAGUGAGUGAUAGAUAUUAUGAGUUGAACCACGCUCACGUACAGCCCCUAUCGGUUGAGCUAGUUCAUACAUUUCAUUUCAUGCAUUACAAGUUGACCCUGGAAUUAAGAAUAUUGCAUGUCAUUUUCUGCGUCAACAUCUAUCCUACAUCCCAGCAGACAAAGUUCAAUGAAGAAAGGGCUCGACUACUUUAUCAUCUGGCAAGAGUGCAGAAGUUUGACUUGGGAUCCCACAUAUAUGCAUUUAUAUAGACGUUGGCAUGUCUAUCGAUUCUGGUGCAGUAUAAUGUUUUCGUGCUUGAUUAGUAGGAUCAACUUCACAGCCAGGUACCACUUUUUCCAAGAGAAUAAAGUACUGUUCCAUAGGACCCAAUCAAUAGGAAAAUAAAUGAAAAUUCAAAAGCUAGGCUGAGAGGAGCGAACGAGCACAUAAUCUCAAGCAGGUAUCUCGACCACCACAGCAAGCUCCAUAUGCUAACACAAUCCUCCUAAGUAGGCAGUUGUUUUAGAUGCAAGUAACCCAGGUGGAUCUGGGUGGAUCAAUUGGCCGUAUAACAAAUGUGUUAGAAGCGAUGUAGCUAACAUAGCUAGACAUGCAAAAAGAGCCGCUAAGAGUGAGUGGCCUGGCACGUGGGUUCCACAAAAGUGAUAAUAGAACACGACAUGAUUAGAGAACCAUCACGUAUGCUUACAAUUAGGUGCACGAGCAGAUGCUAUGCUUCGGGAGUUGACAUGAGACGAUUGACAGUAAUGUCGCCCAGAUAGCAAGAACCAUUGAAUCUUUGAGGCCCACAACUUUUGCGAUCUUGCUGGACGAUCUUUCUACUCAUCCACAUCAUCCCUGGGGAGAUCCUUGUUCUUUACUCAUUUAUUUUGAUUUUGAUUUUGUUUUUGUUUUUACAUUGAAGACAAUGUAAUAGUUUUGUUUAGUGGUGGGUAAGUAUUAAGGUAUUUAGUGUAACACCCCGAACUUUUUUUAAUUAUUGUUCAUAUGGGCCUGAACUUCAUGUGGGCCACUUAGCAAAUGAAAUAAUUUAUGUUUAAAUUUGUCGUCACACUAAAAGUCCA